rnacentral:rRNA from 1 species
UUGGAGGGCAAGUCUGGUGCCAGCAGCCGCGGUAAUUCCAGCUCCAAUAGCGUAUAUUAAAGUUGUUGCAGUUAAAAAGCUCGUAGUUGAAUUUCGGGGUCAGUAGGUUGGUCGUGCCACUGGUAUGCACUGGUCUCACUGAUUCCUCCUUCCUGAUGAACCGUAAUGCCAUUAAUUUGGUGUUGCGGGGAAUCUGGACUGUUACUUUGAAAAAAUUAGAGUGUUUAAAGCAGGCUAACGCUUGAAUACAUUAGCAUGGAAUAAUGAAAUAGGACGAUCGAUCCUAUUUUGUUGGUUUCUAGGAUUGACGUAAUGAUUAAUAGGGAUAGUUGGGGGCAUUAAUAUUCAAUUGUCAGAGGUGAAAUUCUUGGAUUUAUUGAAGACUAACUACUGCGAAAGCAUUUGCCAAGGAUGUUUUCAUUAAUCAAGAACGAAAGUUAGGGGAUCGAAGACGAUCAGAUACCGUCGUAGUCUUAACCAUAAACUAUGCCGACUAGGGAUCGGAUGAUGUUAAUUUUUUAAUGACUCAUUCGGCGCCUUACGGGAAA